GGGGAAUAUUGGACAAUGGACGAAAGUCUGAUCCAGCGACGCCGCGUGGAGGAAGAAGUCCUUCGGGAUGUAAACUCAUGAAGCUAACGAAUAAGACGGAAGGGGAACCUUCCGGGAGAAGGUAAUUAGUGAACAGCCCCGGCUAACUACGUGCCAGCAGCCGCGGUAAUACGUAGGGGGCGAGCGUUAUCCGGAUUUACUGGGCGUAAAGGGUGCGUAGGUGGUUUCUUAAGUCAGGAGUGAAAGGCUACGGCUCAACCGUAGUAAGCUCUUGAAACUGGGAAACUUGAGUGCAGGAGAGGAAAGUGGAAUUCCUAGUGUAGCGGUGAAAUGCGUAGAUAUUAGGAGGAACACCGGUGGCGAAGGCGGCUUGCUGGACAAAUACUGACGCUGAGGUGCGAAAGCGUGGGGAGCAAACA
rnacentral:rRNA from 1 species